rnacentral:misc_RNA from 1 species
GGAAUCUUCAAGGGGAAUAUGUUGCCGUAACCAAUCAGCCAGCUCUAACAUUUUUGGGUUUCUCCGGGACUUACCCUCACCAGUAGAUAAAAGAUAUUGUUUGGCCCACCUUUCCACCUGCCGUUUACAAUAGUUCAUCCGUUUCCCAUAGUUACCAAGACCAACUAAAUCAACAUCAGCAGAGUGAAGACCGGCCAAAGCUUGAGCAACAGCACGAAAUAUGACCCUUCUUCUUUCAGGGAGUACAUCCUAAAGAGGCAAAAAAAGUUACAUUGUCUUUUAAAUCAAUGAAAAGAAUUAGCCUUACCAACCACACUAAUAUUAUUCACAAUCUAAAAA